AUAUUUCCAACGUCUAGCACACAUCGUUUACGGCAUGGACUACGAGGGUAUCUAAUCCUCUUCGCUACCCAUGCUUUCGCUCCUCAGUGUCAGUAGUGACCCAGUAAGUUGCCUUCGCAUUUGGUGUUCUUUCUAAUAUCUACGAAUUUCACCUCUACACUAGAAAUUCCACUUACCUCUAUCACACUCUAGCUAAAAAGUUUUGAUGGCAGUUCCAAGGUUGAGCCUUGGGAUUUCACCAUCAACUUUUUUAACCACCUACGAGCUCUUUAAGCCCAGUAAUUCCGAACUACGCUAGGUCCCUUCGUAUUACCGCGGCUGCUGGCACGAAGUUAGCCGGACCUUCUUAUUCGGGUACAGUCAUUUUCUUCCCCGACGAAAGAGUUUUACAACCCAAAGGCCUUCUUCACUCACGCGGCAUCGCUGCAUCAGGGUUUCCCCCAUUGUGCAAGAUUCCCCACUGCUGCCUCCCGUAGGAGUCUGGGCCGUGUCUCAGUCCCAAUGUGGCUGGUCUUCCUCUAAGAACAGCUAUUGAUCAUUGCCUUGGUAAGCUUUUACCUUACCAACUAGCUAAUCAAGUGCGGGCUCAUCUUUCGGCGUUAAAACUUUCCCUGUAAAGGCUUAUUCGGUAUUAGCACAAGUUUCCUCGUGUUAUUCCAAACCAAAAGGCAGAUUCCCACAUUAUACUCACCCGUUUGCCACUCAGUAUUGCUACUGCGUUCGACUUGCAUGUGUUAGGCGUGCCGCCAGCGUACGUUCUGAGCCAGGAUCAAACUCU
rnacentral:rRNA from 1 species